rnacentral:rRNA from 1 species
AUCGAACGCUGGCGGAAUGCUUUACACAUGCAAGUCGAACGGCAGCACGGACUUCGGUCUGGUGGCGAGUGGCGAACGGGUGAGUAAUGUAUCGGAACGUGCCCAGUCGUGGGGGAUAACGUAGUGAAAAUUACGCUAAUACCGCAUUGCAUCUAUGGAUGAAAGCGGGGAAGCGCAAGCCCUAGCGCCAUUGGAGCGGCCGAGAUCAGAUUAGGUAGUUGGGGGGGUAAAGGCCCUCCAAGCCAACGAUCUGUAGCUGGUCUGAGAGGACGACCAGCCACACUGGAACUGAGACACGGUCCAAACUCCUACGGUAGGCAGCAGUGGGGAAUUUUGGACAAUGUGCGAAAGCCUGAUCCAGCCAUUCCGCGUGCAGGAUGAAGGCCCUCGGGUUGUAAACUGCUUUUGUACAGAACGAAAAGGUUUCUACUAAUACUAGGAGCUCAUGACGGUACUGUAAGAAUAAGCACCGGCUAACUACGUGCCAGCCGCCGCAGUAA